UUGGGGUUAGGAGAGGCAGCCAUGGCCACUAAGAAAGGAAAGGACUGGAAGAAGGAGGGGAGGAGGGGCUGCUGGAAGUUCCGGUAGAGCUGGCCGCCAGAGAGGGGAGAGGGAGGAGCUCAGGACAUCUUAGGGAAGAGGGAGGUCAAUUGGAUGGCUGCCACCAAUAUCAUUUGUCUUCUAUUUUUUUUUUCUUUACUUUUGCUUCUGUUAAGUGGUCCACAGACUUAAUAUAAUGAAUGCCAUUUCAUGGUCAAUGAAACAAUCUCAUAAAGAAUCUGAUGAACUUUUUUUUGGAGUAGCAUCUCCUUUUUAUUGACAUUUUUGUUUGACAUCUAGAAUCAAUUUUAAGUCCUUGUCUAUCGCUUAUCAUAGAUGAUUUAACCAAGAACGUUCACGUGGAGGUUCUAUGGUGUAUGUUCUUCGCCGAUGAUAUUGUGCUUGUGGCUGAGAUAGUGAUAGAGAUCAAUGAAAGAUUAGAGUUAUGGCGAUCUACUUUAGAUUCUAGGGGUCCUAAAAUAAGUAGAACAAAGACGGAGUAUAUGGUAUGUAACUUCAGCCACUCAAGGACGGAUUAUGAUGUAGUGAAACUUGAGGAGAGAGAGAUCCCACAACGUAAUCAUUUCAAAUAUUUUCGGUCAAUCAUUAAAAAAGGUGGUGAGAUAGAUGAUGAUGUGUCUCAUAGAAUUAAAGUAGGAUAGAUGAAAAGGAAAGGUGCACCUGGACUGUUGUGUGAUCGACAUAUACCCCUAAAGCUUAAAGGAAAAAUCUAUAGGACAUUCAUAAGACCAGGUAUAAUGUAUGGGGUGGAAUGUUGGGCAGUCAAGAAGUGUAACAUGGAUAAUUUAAGUGUAGCAGAGAUGAGGAUGUUCAGCAAAACUAGGAAUGAUAGGGUGAGGAAUGAACAGGUUAGAUCUAAUUUGGGAGUUACUCCGAUCAGGAUAAGCUUUGAGAAUGUCGCUUAAGGUGGUUUGGACAUGUUCAGCGUAAAGAAGAGUGAUCAGAUCCAGAUGGAGGGAGCUAAUAGAGCUAAUGGUAGCCUAAAUCAACCAUUGAAGAGUUACUAACGAAAGACAUGUAGACUUUCGAUCUAGAUUCUAGUAUGACAUCAAACAGAGUUAUUUGGAAGGCAAAGAUCCAUGAUGCAGAUUGCACUUAGGUGGAUGUCCCAGAGAUGUUGCUUUGCUAUGUCUCUUUCUUACCUUUGCUUUUAUCUUGGACUAUCACGGACCAUGUAGCUGACCCCAUUUAGUUGGGAAAAGGCUUUAUUAUUCUUGUUGUUGUAUUUAUAUCUACUUAAUCCAUAGACUUCACUUCCCCCUCCUAACCCCUUUCUACUUGUUGUUGUUGUAUUGAUACCUACUUAAUCCAUGCCUUAGGCUAUCAAGUUAUAAGUCUUUUGUUUUUUUAAAUACAUGUUUAGUUUGAUAUCCUUAUCUACUUUUCUUUUUUCUUUUCUUUUUUAUAAUUUUAUUGAAUGGUAUAAUGUUGUGCUACCAAGUCUGAGUAACCUUGUGACAUGUAUACAAAUGGGUUAUCAUUGUUUUAUUCAUGUUUUAAGUAUUUUGUUCAAUCCUUAUCCUGUUUUUUUAUUGAAUCUGAACAAUUCCCCUGAAAUUAUUGACAUUAUUAAUUUUUUAGUGCCUCUUUCUUAGGCUGACCACUUGAUUUUCUUCAAUUCUAUCUAUCGUAUAUGAUAUAUGGGGACAGAAUGAAUCCUUUCUUAAUUGAUUUUUUCCUUGUAAGAUUGCUAGAGGAACCUAUUCGUCUGAUAGACCAUCUAGAUGUUGCUGCAAUGUAUCCAAAUAUCAUUUUAACAAAUGGGCUCCAGGUUAUUCUGCACUGUUUAGGAAGCAUGGAAUUGUCUUCAUUAUAAUUGGAAGGCUUACAGAAUUGUCUGUAUGAAGGCUGUUUAUAGGUAGAGAAUCUAGGGUUCUCAGUAAGUACACUUUUUUACAGAUCAGGGCAUACAAGGAAAAUUUUAUCCGUCCAAAUAAGAACCAAGAUGCUGUGGAGAGUUCUAUAAUAACCACCUUUUGGAGAUUGUGAAGUAAAUUGGUGGUCAUGUUGAAUGCUUUGAAAGUGGUGUUUUUAGAUCUGAUCUUCCUAGUAAUGUUUGACUUGAUCCAUCUGCAUAUGUGGUGAUUUGUGUUCCUUUCUUCUUUUCCAUCUGUGUGGAAGUAUAUGAUGAUUUUUACGCAGUUUGCUAAGCAGCUUGAUUGACAUCAGUAUACUCUUUUCCAUCUCCAUCAAUUAGUCACUAACCUUGAUCGUGAUCUGUAAUAUGCAAUAAUUGUGAAGGGUAAGAUGGACACUGGAUCUGUCUCCAAUUAUGCUGAAGUGAAGGAUGCUAUCAUGAAAAAGGUUGUCGGUUUCUGUUUUCAAGCUUUGAUAUUUUAUUAAGUACUGAUAUCUACUUAAUCCAUAGGCAUCAAUUCCCCCUUCCCAUUUGAGUAUGCUUCCAAUCUCAAUUGUACAGCCUACUCAAAUGAUGAUAUGUAGACAGAUUGCUGAAAUAAAUUAUGGAGAAAGAGGAUCUUGAUCUUGUAUGUUGUUCCUAUUACUAGCUAACGUAUAAUGGAUUGUUAUCUGCCAUUUUUUUUCUGUUAAAUAAAAUUUUCUAAUAA